AACGAACGCUGGCGGCAGGCUUAACACAUGCAAGUCGAACGCCCCGUAAGGGGAGUGGCAGACGGGUGAGUAACGCGUGGGAAUCUACCCAUCUCUACGGAAUAACUCAGGGAAACUUGUGCUAAUACCGUAUACGCCCUUCGGGGGAAAGAUUUAUCGGAGAUGGAUGAGCCCGCGUUGGAUUAGCUAGUUGGUGGGGUAAAGGCCUACCAAGGCGACGAUCCAUAGCUGGUCUGAGAGGAUGAUCAGCCACAUUGGGACUGAGACACGGACCAAACUCCUACGGGAGGCAGCAGUGGGGAAUAUUGGACAAUGGGCGCAAGCCUGAUCCAGCCAUGCCGCGUGAGUGAUGAAGGCCCUAGGGUUGUAAAGCUCUUUCACCGAUGAAAAUAAUGACUGUAGUCGGAGAAGAAGCCCCGGCUAACUUCGUGCCAGCCGCCGCAGUAACAC
rnacentral:rRNA from 1 species